CUCUUAUAUUCCCUCCUGCGUCUGGCCUUGCCCCAAGUACGUGAUGCUUGAGCAGCUAAAGGUGAUGCGGGGCACCUCGCCCAUGCCCCCAGCCCCUGUGCCAGGCCUUUCUCCCUGGGCCUCCGCCUCCCGGGACCUGGUUCCCACCACCUGCCUUCCUCCCAUGCUGCCCUCCUCCUCGUUCGCUUCCAUCACGCCUUCACCUAAGAUGGAGAAGCUGCUGCUCCCUGCUGUAGACUUAGAGCAGUGGUACCAGGAGCUGAUGGCCGGGCUGGGGACUGGCCCCGCUGCAGCCUCCCCUCACUCUUCUCCCCCGCCUCUGCCCGCCAAAGCUUCCCGUCAGCUGCAGGUUUACCGCUCCAAGAUGGAUGGCGAGGCCACCAGCCCCCUUCCCCGGACCCGCAGCGGCCCCCUCCCCUCCUCCUCUGGCUCUUCCUCCUCCUCCUCCCAGCUCAGCGUGGCUACCCUGGGGCGUAGCCCCUCCCCAAAGAGCACUCUACUCACCCAGAAUGGCACGGGCAGCCUUCCUCGCAACCUGGCAGCCACGCUGCAGGACAUCGAGACCAAGCGCCAACUAGCUCUGCAGCAGAAGGGACAACAGGUGAUUGAAGAGCAACGGCGGCGACUGGCUGAGCUGAAGCAGAAAGCGGCAGCUGAGGCACAGUGCCAGUGGGAUGCCCUUCACGGGGCAGCCCCCUUCCCAGCGGGCCCCUCGGGCUUCCCCCCUCUCAUGCACCACUCUAUCCUACACCACCUGCCUGUGGGGCGGGAGCGUGGGGAGGAGAGUGAGCAUGCCUACGACACGCUAAGUCUGGAGAGCUCUGACAGCAUGGAGACCAGCAUCUCCACCGGGGGCAACUCGGCCUGCUCCCCUGACAACAUGUCCAGUGCGAGUGGUCUGGACAUGGGGAAGAUCGAGGAGAUGGAGAAGAUGCUGAAAGAGGCUCACGCAGAGAAGAACCGGCUCAUGGAGUCGAGGGAGCGGGAGAUGGAGCUGCGGCGGCAGGCCCUGGAGGAGGAGCGGCGGAGGCGUGAGCAGGUAGAACGGAGGCUGCAGAGUGAGAGUGCCCGGAGGCAGCAGCUGGUCGAGAAGGAGGUCAAGAUGCGGGAGAAACAGUUUUCCCAGGCACGACCCCUGACCCGCUACCUGCCAAUCCGGAAGGAGGACUUUGACCUGAAGACACAUAUUGAGUCAUCAGGCCAUGGUGUUGAUACCUGCCUGCACGUGGUGCUCAGCAGCAAGGUCUGCCGUGGCUACUUGGUCAAGAUGGGCGGCAAGAUUAAAUCAUGGAAGAAGCGCUGGUUUGUCUUCGACCGGCUCAAGCGCACCCUUUCCUAUUAUGUGGACAAGCAUGAGACGAAGCUGAAGGGAGUCAUCUAUUUCCAGGCCAUUGAGGAAGUGUACUACGACCACCUGCGCAGUGCAGCCAAGAGCCCGAACCCAGCCCUCACCUUCUGCGUAAAGACCCACGACCGGCUGUACUACAUGGUGGCCCCAUCUGCAGAGGCCAUGCGCAUCUGGAUGGAUGUCAUUGUCACAGGGGCUGAGGGCUACACUCAGUUCAUGAACUAACUGCCGUGGGCCUCCUGG
rnacentral:sRNA from 1 species